rnacentral:sRNA from 1 species
UAAGAAUAUAAAAUCACAAAAGGACGCGCAAUCAAAAGAUCGUGUAAAAUAAGGAAAAAUCGAAAAUUUUGAUU